rnacentral:rRNA from 1 species
AGCAGCCGCGGUAAUUCCAGCUCCAAUAGCGUAUAUUAAAGUUGUUACAGUUAAAAAGCUCGUAGUUGAAUUUCGGGAUCAAUAUGUCGGUCGUGCCUCCGGUACGUACUGGCAUCAUUGAUUUCUCCCUUCUGACGAACCAUGAUGUCAUUAAUUUGGUGUCAUGGGGAGUCAGAACUGUUACUUUGAAAAAUUAGAGUGUUUAAAGCAGGCUCACGCUUGAAUACAUUAGCAUGGAAUAAUGAAAUAGGACGUUUGACCCUAUUUUGUUGGUUUCUAGGAUCAACGUAAUGAUUAAUAGGGAUAGUUGGGGGCAUUAGUAUUCAAUUGUCAGAGGUGAAAUUCUUGGAUUUAUUGAAGACUAACUACUGCGAAAGCAUUUGCCAAGGAUGUUUUCAUUAAUCAAGAACGAAAGUUAGGGGAUCGAAGACGAUCAGAUACCGUCGUAGUCUUAACCAUAAACUAUGCCGACUAGGGAUCGGAUGAUGUUAAUUUUUAAUGACUCAUUC